UACGGAGGGGGGCAAGCGUUGUUCGGAAUUAUUGGGCGUAAAGGGUGCGUAGGCGGUUUGGUAAGUCUGAUGUGAAAUCUAUGGGCUCAACUCAUAGUCUGCAUCGGAAACUGCCGGGCUUGAGUGUGGGAGAGGAAAGCGGAAUUCCUGGUGUAGCGGUGAAAUGCGUAGAUAUCAGGAGGAACACCUGUGGUGUAGACGGCUUUCUGGACCAUAGCUGACGCUGAGACACGAAAGCGUGGGUAGCAAACAGG
rnacentral:rRNA from 1 species